CCUACGGGGGGCAGCAGUGGGGGAUAUUGCACAAUGGGGGGAACCCUGAUGCAGCGACGCCGCGUGGGUGAAGAAGCGCCUCGGCGCGUAAAGCCCUGUCAGCAGGGAAGAAAAUGACGGUACCUGAAGACGAAGCCCCGGCUAACUACGUGCCAGCAGCCGCGGUAAUGCGUAGGGGGCAAGCGUUAUCCGGAUUUACUGGGUGUAAAGGGGGCGCAGACGGCGAUGCAAGCCAGGAGUGAAAGCCCGGGGCCCAACCCCGGGACGGCUCUUGGAACUGCGUGGCUGGAGUGGAGGAGGGGCAGGCGGAAUUCCUGGUGUAGCGGUGAAAUGCGUAGAUAUCAGGAGGAACACCGGUGGCGAAGGCGGCCUGCUGGACUGCAACUGACGUUGAGGCCCGAAAGCGUGGGGAGCAAACAGGAUUAGAUACCCGUGUAGUC
rnacentral:rRNA from 1 species